rnacentral:rRNA from 1 species
UACGGGGGGAGCAAGCGUUGUUCGGAUUUACUGGGCGUAAAGGGCGCGUAGGCGGCAUGGCAAGUCAGGAGUGAAAGCCCUGGGCUCAACCCGGGAACUGCUUUUGAAACUGCCGAGCUAGAGUGCGGAAGGGGCAACUGGAAUUCCCAGUGUAGCGGUGAAAUGCGUAGAUAUUGGGAAGAACACCUGAGGCGAAGGCGGGUUGCUGGGCCGACACUGACGCUGAUGCGCGAAAGCCAGGGGAGCGAACGGG